AGGCCACGAGCGCAUUAGACUCCGAAUCCGAAAGAAUCGUCCAAGAUGCUCUCGACAAUGCCGCCGUCGGCCGCACUACCAUCAUCAUCGCUCACCGGCUCUCCACCAUCCGCAACGCCGACCUCAUCGCCGUCGUCCAGUCCGGCCAAGUCAUGGAAACCGGUUCCCAUCACGACCUCAUGCAGCAACCAAACGGCCUCUACACUACCCUCGUCCGCUUACAGAAUCAAACCCUUAACGAACCUGACCAGCCCAUUAAUCCUUCGUCUAUAACAAACACAGACGCAAACAAUACCAGCA
rnacentral:lncRNA from 1 species